rnacentral:rRNA from 1 species
UGGAGAAUAUUGGACAAUGGGGGCAACCCUGAUCCAGCCAUGCCGCGUGAGUGAUGAAGGCCUUCGGGUUGUAAAGCUCUUUUUGGCGGGGACGAUGAUGACGGUACCCGCAGAAUAAGCCCCGGCUAACUUCGUGCCAGCAGCCGCGGUAAGACGAAGGGGGCUAGCGUUGUUCGGAAUUACUGGGCGUAAAGCGAGUGUAGGCGGUUGCCGUAGUCAGGUGUGAAAGCCUUGAGCUCAACUCAAGAAAUGCACUUGAUACUGGGUGACUAGAGGACCGGAGAGGAUAGUGGAAUUCCCAGUGUAGUGGUGAAAUACGUAGAGAUUGGGAAGAACACCAGUGGCGAAGGCGGCUAUCUGGACGGUUACUGACGCUAAGACCCGAAAAGCGUGGGGAGCAAACAGGAUUAGAUACCCUGGUAGUCCACGCCGUAAACGAUGGGUGCUAGACGUUGGCGAGCUUUGCUCGUCAGUGUCGCAGCUAACGCGUUAAGGCACCCCGCCUGGGGAGUACGGCCG